rnacentral:rRNA from 1 species
UGGACAGAAAGACCCUAUGAAGCUUUACUGUAACUUGAGACUGAUUUCGGGCUUUAUUUGCGCAGAAUAGGUGGGAGGCUGUGAAAGACGUCUUACGGGACAUCUGGAGCCAUUCGUGAGAUACCACUCUGAUAAAGCUAGAAGUCUAACCUUCGACCGUUAGCCGGUGAAGAAACAAUCUCAGGCGGGCAGUUUGACUGGGGCGGUCGCCUCCCAAAAAGUAACGGAGGCGCACAAAGGUUUCCUCAGAUCGGUCAGACAUCGAUCUUCGAGUGUAAAGGCAAAAGGAAGCUUGACUGUGAGACCAACAA